UUGCGAAGAAGACGACGAUGUAAACCUUGAUUGGAAUAUUGGCCAGGAAGACGACCUUAAAGAAAAUUUAAAACCGUCUGAGCAACUUGCCGUGGAACAAAUAUAUGUUCCAGAUGAGCACUUUGCUCAGACCGAAAAACCAGCAGAAAAACAGGUUCGUCGCUAUUAUACUGGAUAUGCAAUAUACCAGAAGGUUUUCUGCAGAUUAAAAUGCGAAAAAUGUGCAUAUUUAAUGAGGAAGAGUGAUACCUCUCUACAAGCCUCAUCGGAAGCCCUUAUAAGGUCCAAAAAUUAUAAAAGCGCGGAUGACCUAAGGCUGGUUAAUCCCAAUGAUAGAGUCUUCGAUAUAAGCCGCCUUCAAAUGAGCCUAUAUAAAGAACUGUUUAUGGAAAAUUCUUGCAGAGUGGGUAUAAAAUCGAUGAUUUUAGCCCAGAUUACUGCAAUUACCGAACAAAAAUACCCAGAGUGGUACAGCGAGGCUGGAGAUUGCCUCGAGCAUCGGCACCAAUUUCUAGAUUUUUUAAUAACAGUUUUACUGUUUAAAAACGCCAAAUGGCUGGCACAGCAGCGGGAAGAGUCUUACAAAAGUGAAGUGAGGGCGAGGUAUUUUAAUAAACAGCAAAAAUUAAAGAAAUUGGUAACUUAGGUUGUAGGCCAUAUUUAAUUUUUCUAGUAGCUUCCGUUUGAUAAAAGAUUCUUCAAAAACUAAUAAUGUUCUUUUUUAUUUUUUUCAGGGUAGAAUUAAGUUGUAAAUAGUUUGUAGUAGUAGUAGUAGUUUUAGUAUUAGUUAUAGUUAGUUAGUUUUAGUAUUUAUCAAUUUAGUAAGUAGUAUGAACACGUGAGCCAAGCUUUGAAAAAAGCUGGUGAAAAAGACCUAAUCUUUAUUGAUUAGGUUGUGUGAGAAUUUGUGGUUGAAGGUAGACAAAUUCUAAAAAUCGUGUUUUAUUAAAAUUAUAUUCUUUUAUAUGUUUAUUUCUAAUAAAAUGAAUUUUCUUUUUAUUUUUCAUUUCAGUUUUUAAUAAAAUAAAAUAAGUUUUUUAAUAAAUUAAAAUAA